CAAUAGUGUAUAUUAAAGUUGUUGCAGUUAAAAAGCUCGUAGUUGAACUUCGGACAGUGUGCAGUUUUGGCUUCGGUCAGGCUGUUCGCUGUCAUCCGUCUGCAAACCUUGUUCGACCUUCACUGGUACGGCAAGGGGAGUAGACAUUUUACUUUGAAAAAAUUAGAGUGUUUCAAGCAGGCAAUCGCCAGAAUACUUUAGCAUGGAAUAAUGGAAUAGGACUCUUGUCCAUUUGGUUGGUUAUUGGACAUGAGUAAUGAUUAAUAGGGACAGUCGGGGGCAUUAGUAUUUAAUUGUCAGAGGUGAAAUUCAUGGAUUUAUUAAAGACUAACUUAUGCGAAAGCAUUUGCCAAGGAUGUUUUCAUUAA
rnacentral:rRNA from 1 species